ACGCUCGACACCUACGGGAGGCCGCAGUGGGGAAUAUUGCACAAUGGGGGAAACCCUGAUGCAGCGACGCCGCGUGAGCGAAGAAGUAUUUCGGUAUGUAAAGCUCUAUCAGCAGGGAAGAAGAAAGACGGUACCUGACUAAGAAGCCCCGGCUAACUACGUGCCAGCAGCCGCGGUAAUCUGAGCGGGCUGGCAAGGC
rnacentral:rRNA from 1 species